UUAUGUACAUUACUACAACAUAUGGUUAAUGCACCAGAUCCCAUUAUAACUUCUUAUUUAAGUGUGCUCAGGCUAGAUUAGUACUGGAAUGGGUGACCACCUGAGAAGUCCUAGUGUUUUACAUGCC
rfam:Picea glauca, whole genome shotgun sequence.